ensembl:lncRNA
UUUUUUUUUUUUUUUUGGCGGGGGGGGAGUUCAUUUUUGCCCUAGCAGAAAGUUUUUAAAUUAUAGGAAACCUAUUUUUCUUGGGUUUACAGUAGAAAUUCAUGUUUAAUCUCACGAAUGGCUUUUAGAACAAGCUAGAUUUAUUCAUUUCCUAGGACUGUGGCAACGAAGUACCACUAACUCGAUGGCUUAAAACAAUAAAAUCUGUUCCAUGCUUCUUUCUCGGCUUCUGGUGGUGACCAGCAACCCUUGGCAUUUUCAGGCCUUCAGCUAAAGCCCUCCAAUUUCUGUCUCUGCUUCCCUUCUUGCAUGGCCAUCUUCUCCUUGUUUGGCUCUCCCUUGAUUUUUUUUGGAAAUGUCUGCAUCCGUGAUAUAUGGAAGUUCUUGGAACAGGGAUCAAAUCUAAGCUACAGCUGUGAUGUGCACCACAGCUGCACUGCAGCAAUGCCCAAUUCUUAACCCACCACGCUGACUGGCAAUAGAACCCACACCUCCACAGUGAUCUGAGCUGCUGCAGUUGGAUUCUUCACCCAUUGCACCAUGGCUGGAACUCUGGUCCUUUUCUUAUAAUAACAAUGAUAUUGAAUGCAAGUCUUUACUCCAAAAUGAUUAUAUCAGCAAUGACGAUUUCCAAGCAAGAUUGCAUUCUGUUAGCACUUCAAAGUAUCUUUUUUUUUUUUUUUUUCCCGAGGGGGCAGGAUACACUUCAACACAUAGCACUAAUCUAUGUACCAUGCUUCCUUCAGUCUAUAGAAAGUACUUCAACCUUCAGUGAUUGUAACCAGCAGUUCUCAUACUGUGCACCCACUUUCUCUAAGACCCUUUCAAGAGACCCAUGAAUCAAAACUAAUUUUAUAAUAAUAUUAAGAGUUAUUUGCCUAUUUUACUCCUAUGUUUUUCAUCACGGUGCAGUUGACACCUCUAGAUUCUUUCUGAUAUGUGAUGAUGUCACCCAUUAUUCCAAUGGCUGGGAGAAUGUGUGUUUGUGUAUUUUCAUGUUUUUCUGGAUUUUUCCCUUUUUCCGUUGAUUACCUUUUUUCUUAAAAUGAAUAUAGAACUGUUUAACCAAAGCCUUUUGUCCAGGAGGUGAUGUAUAUUUUUCUAACGUAGUUUUGGAGAACAAAUGUGUGCGUUUUCAGAGGUUAACUUAAGCUUAUUCUAGGAACUUUAACAUGUUCUUAUCAAUUUUCUUUGGAUAUACCUGCUGUAAUUUUCAAAACCCUUUUUUAACCAAAAAUCAUUUCCUUGAAAUUUCUAAAUGUCCCUUGUACUUACAUAAAAACACAGCAAGAAAUAAGUACGCUUUAUUUUAUUUACUUACCAUUGUACUUUAGGAUAGAGACUCCUCUUAUAAAAGGAGAUUAGAAGACUUUUUCUCUCAACCUACCUCUACACUAUCCACAUCUACCUCUGCUGAAAAAAAAUGAAAUUGACAUUUCAGAGAGCUCUCUGACUCAUGCAAGAGACAAGCAUACCACAGAAAAUCUGGGGGAGGAUUAGGAAAAUAUGUAGAAAAUUAUAAAUAAAAGAGUCUGUGACAAAAAGUAUUUUACUUUAUUAUGUCUCAGCAACACAGAAUUCACCCUUUAAUAGUAUCAUCCAAGAUGCCAUUCUGAAAUUAAACACCCAGACUCUGAGAUGUCUUCCUGAAAUUGAGAUGUUAUUCCGAAGUUAAACACCCAGAGUUUGAGAAAAAGAAAUUAAAUGUUUUAAAUGAAGGCACAAUGAACGCUUUGAGUCAACAAUGGUUUGCUACAGCUUUUCAAACUAAAAUGAAAAAGUCAUCCAAGCACCUUAGAAAGUAAGUUAUCUAUUCCAUUAGCUAAAGGGGGGCUCUCAAUAGCUAAGAGCUUAAUAAAACCUUGUAGAGCUGACAUUGCUGAAUGCCGGCUGAACAAGAGGUCAGUAAAAGAAAUCACGGCACUGUACUUUCCAACGACACAAUAAUUUGCCAAAUCAAAGAUGUGACUGCAAACAUGAGGAGUGAAUCAAUAUAUCAACCGCAGAAUUAGAUUUAAGCUAUUUUUCACCACUGUUCAUUUGCAGGAAACUUAUUCAAGUCAGGGGCGGGGGUUAAAGCCAGUUUUACUCAGAACGACCUUAAUAAAGCACUAAAAGUUGGAGAUUUUAAUAAAUCUCAACUCCUGAAUACAAAUCACGUUUUAACAUUUUGUGUGGUAAAAUGAGAAGUAUUCUGAAAUGACUUUUGAUGAUUGUCUCUAGGGUAAAUAAUAAUACAAUUUUUUGAAUCACAAGUUGAACUACUGCUUUUUUUUAUGAAAUACUGUUUAUUCAAAUUUGCUUAUUUGACAAACAUCUUCUUGAAAGUUAAUGAAGUGAGGCUGUCUAGUCAAGUAAAACAUAGAGCACUAUGUGUUGCCAAUGAUAAAAUUUGAGCUUGAAAGUGAAAAUUCGAAUUUCGGGAAUGUCACAUUCUCUACCGUGACAUGAGAAGCUUCUCAAUCCUUAGACUUUUCUGAUAAGAUUGGUGGUGAUAUUAACAAAUGCAAAUCUUAGUAUUAAUUU